rnacentral:lncRNA from 1 species
CCGGUAUCCACAACAGAAGAAGCUUCGCGUAUAUAGUACUCUCGUGUCGGGAAAUUUUAGUCGAGAAUCAAGGUGAGUGAUUAUUAAGGAGGUUGAAAUGUAGAACCGAUAUUGUAGAGUAAAUCUUUAUUUAAACACAGUGAUCUCAUUAGGAUAUUUCAAUAAUAAAAGUCAACAUUCACACAAUUAAUAGAAAAUAGAAAUACUAUAUAUGUGGAUCUAGUUUACAUAUAUUAUUGAAUCUAAACCCGUUUUCCAGGAAUGCCAUCAUGCAUAUCGUGCCUAUAAAUUUUAUCUUAAAAUUUUGGUGGUAUAAGUGGGCUAAAGAAACUCAUAAAAUAUUUGGACUACGGACCUUCAAACUUAUGCCAAGUAUUUAUUUGAUUGAUUAGGUCAAUUACUGUUUUUUGGCUUGUUUUCCGUCGAUUUGGUCAGAGAUUUGGUCGAUGUGUCAAUUACAUUGUGUUGCAGCCUGUAGAAUUGCAAUUAACAUGAAUAUUGACUAUUGUCGUUUGUCUGACAAUUAAUAAAACUUGUCUUCAUUGUUUUUAACCCUUGAAUGGCAACAUAUUCGUUGGUCUUGGAGGCUAACUUAAGGAAGAUGGAUGACUUUGGGACAAAUAUCAAGAUUCUAUUCAGAUAUCAAAUUUGAUGGACAUAACCAUAGGACCCUCAUUGUUCUUUUCCGGCUGGUAAUUUCAGCAAAUAUAGCUAGAAUAAAAGUUUUUCCGAAUAAGGAAUGCAUAUAAUAAUAACACACAAUUUAUAAAAACUGUAUUUUUCGAAUCAAAUUUGAUACAUUAACUUCAGCAGUUAUACAUUUGCAAGAUAUGUCGUUAUUAAGGCUGCUCUCCAGUCACGCGUUUUUCAUACGCACUGAAAAGUUUAAAUCUUUUUAAAUGUUACUUAUGAAAUAACUGAAUGAAUAAAAGAAAGCAUAUCGUUUUGGAAAUUAUUUAAUGUGCAUUUUACAGGUAAUUCAUACUAGUGUUAAGUUAAAAAAGUCGCUAUGCAAAAGCCCCCGUAUUCCCAGGCUUUCUUUCCAUUCCGUCCAAAGGACGGUUUUUCAAGUGUCGUUGAACUUGUCAACGAUAAUCUUUUUGAUAUACCCUCACUUGUUGGUCUUCCACGAACGGGAAAUCGAACUCGUCCUCGUCCACGAACUCGUCUGACUCGAGUUGACAGUGAAAAGGAUCUUGGCGUCAUCACUUGCUCCAGACUUUCAUGGGAACUUCAAAUCAAUUCUGUCAUCUCCAAGCCCAACAAAAUGUUAGGCGUACGUAAACUGAAACGAACAUGUGCUCAAAUGAGCACAGAGGCGUAGCCAUCUCGAUAAUUGGGGCACAGAGGCGUAGCCAUAUUCACAUAUAUUUGUAUUCCGCAUUAUUAAUUUCUUUUAUAAUCGAUUAUUACUAAGGUCUGUGAACACGAAUAUAUGAAUAUUGCCCCCCUCCCCCAAUUAUCCAAGCUGGCUAUGCCGCUGGGAAACAAAAUCUAUUUGUUGACAUUUUUGUUAAUUCCUUUUCACCCAGAUAUUGUAAAAAGCCCCGCAAGUCUUCGAAUGUACUGUUCUCCGGGAUUACGACAAUCCGAAAGACAGACGAACACAAGAUUUUGAUUCGAGUUCACAUAUAUCUGCGCGAAAGACUGGGUCGAGUGAACUCUGGAGAAUCCUGAGCAAGCAUCAAGAAUGGUGUGCUGGCGCUUGGCUGCAAUAAAAUAGUUUUAGUAAAGUUUGGGAAGGUAUCUUGCAUGGUUUUUCGAGUCCCAUUUAUACCUUGCCCAUUUAGGUUCUUUUUUCUAUUAAUAGUUUGAUUGAAUAUUUUUUAAUUGACCGUAAUAAAGAUUAUAAUAAUAGUACUGUAGUAUGAUAUCACACCGGGCAAGCUGGCCUUGCCCAUUUAUAUGGGCUAAAUAUAUAUCUGCCCGUGGUGACAGUGCUUAUAUAUUAAUUUUAUAUUAAUGCUUAUAUUAAUGCUUAUAUAUUUUUGAGAUUGCAUUCACAUGAACCAGGCUGAUCGAAUUGACUGGCACAGCUUCUGCUUGAGCCAGUUGUUAUUCUGCAUUGGGAGUCUUACACUAAAGGUCAUCAGCUGGUGAACCAGCUCACUAGAUUAUAAUACACAAUUUGGCCUAAGCGAGUAAGAUAUUAAUUAAUAUAAGCCUUCUGAAGCUGUUGCCAUUAACAAAUUAACCAGCACAUUACACAAAUUUCUUACCAGAACUUGCCAGGUUAGCCUGACUCCUGUGAGGCAAAUGACAAACUAGCCCUGAAAAGAAAUCCAACCAUGUUUGCUGGGCUAGCAUGGCCCAUAUUGAUAGCCCAUAACAGAGAAAACUUAUUUUUGGAAAGGGAAAGCUAAUUUUCAGAAGGGAGGUUUAUUUCUGAAGUUACUGGGGGCUAAAUACGGGAUUGCAUUAUCACAUAAUAUAUGUAAAAUAUUCAUUUGUGUACAGGUUAAUGCACAAAUUUAUGGACUAAAAUGUCCCAAUUAUAGUUUCAGGAUCUAUUGGGGACCUGUUUGUAUGAUCUAGGCUAUGCAGAACACUACAUCAUGCUUGACUCACACUGAUAGAGUGUUUACUGUAUAUGGUGAAUUUCGUGGCUUCCAUAGCCAGGAUUUUGGCAAUGGGAACCUUACGCUUAGCCUGGAUAGUAGCAUAAUAGGAUAGGACAUACUGGCAAACGUCAUCUUCCGCCUAGCCAAGUAAAACAUUGCCUGUCACUGCCUUGAAGAUGGCAAGAGGGUCAAUCCAUACUUUCCCUAUAUAAUCUCUAACCCUUCUGGCGUGGGCAAAUUAGGCUGGAUGCAAGCGACCUCUUCCGGCAGCUGAGUGACAGCUAGUGAAUAUUUCGAUAUUAUCUCUAUAUACAGUACAAUAUUUCGUAAGAAUAUUGACCUCACUUUGCUUCCAGAAGUAUAAGCAUUUUUGUAUCGAUCUCUUCAGUUCUCCAUUCUCUGUCUUCAAAAACACGUUCCUCAUUAUACUGUCCUUUCCUGGAAAGAUGUCAAGGACUUGACCGAGAUUCCACUUUCCUCGUGGUACAUUGUUUUCCACGAUGAAAGCAAUAUCAUCCUUCUCGCCAUUUUCCUUUUUCUGCCAUUUUGAUCUUCCAAUUGCUAUAUUAACUUAGGAAUGUAUUCUUCGAUAAAUCUUUUCCAGAAAUUGUUCACAAUUGUUUGUACAUACUGAAACCGCCUGCGGGAAUUCUUGGUAUUUUCAUACAAACCAUGUAGAAUAUUUUCUGAAGCUCGGCCUAAUAACAGAUGGUUGGGCGUCAGGGGUCGUAGGUCACUUGGAUCAUCUGGCACAUAGGGCAAGGAGCGGCUGUUAAGAAUCGAUUUUACUUCAGAAAAAACUGUAGCCCUUUUCCUGUCCAAAUCAGGGAUAUUUAGAAUAGUUUUGUCGAUUUCUUGGCUUCGAUCUUGAAUUCUUGCACACCAUGCAUGGACUGCAGAGAUCCAAACGUCCACUCUUCUGCUGUGUGGUUGCUCUAACCUCUCUCUUCCAACCACUGCUAAACAAUCCGUUCUUUUUUCCAUUCAAUCCGAGGUCUUUCGAGAACUGCUUUCGUGUAACUGUCGUUCCGGUGCCACUGUCGAUCAACACUUCACGAACUCUUCCGUUAGGGCCUCCAAUUACGGGCAUCAUACUCGUUCUGUCUAAAACUGAGGCGACUCCUGGUUGCUGGCUGUAGGUGGACUGGGUGGGUUGGAAUGUAAAAGAGGAUGAUGAAAGAAAGGACACGAAACACUCUUUUUGCUCUUCUUCUUCAAUCGACAAUCGUUCUUGGCAUGUCCACGAUUCAACACGAAAAGCAUAAUCUUGCUUUCUUUGCUAGCUCUAUUAAUAAAAUUAAUUUUAAGCAUCCAACUACUUUUUUUUUCUGUGUUGGUGUUGUGUACUUAGGUGAAUAAUAUGUUUGCGAUGUUACUCUGAGUGCAUAUCCACACCGGGCGAGC